UGGAAAGGUGUGUCCCAUAGGCUUAGAGGC
rnacentral:piRNA from 1 species